rnacentral:rRNA from 1 species
UACGUAGGAUGCAAGCGUUGUCCGGAAUUACUGGGCGUAAAGGGCUCGUAGGUGGCCAACUAAGUCAGACGUGAAAUCCCUCGGCUUAACCGGGGAACUGCGUCUGAUACUGGAUGGCUUGAGUUCGGGAGAGGGAUGCGGAAUUCCAGGUGUAGCGGUGAAAUGCGUAGAUAUCUGGAGGAACACCGGUGGCGAAGGCGGCAUCCUGGACCGGCACUGACACCUGAGGAGCGAAAGCCAGGGGAGCAAACGGG